rnacentral:rRNA from 11 species
GUUGACAACCAAGAGUCUCAAAGGCCAUGUGAUGCCAUCUGAUCUUGGAAGUCAAGCUGGUUCAGCCCUGGUUAGUAUUAGGAUGGGAGACGAUGAAUUAAUAUCAGGUGCUGUAGGCU